GUAUUUUCAUCCAACCCAUACUUUCCUGGGAACAAUGAUCAGAACCAACACGAUGGAUAAAAGAAGAGGGAAAUGCUACCAUUACCAACAGGCAGAAUAUGAGCAACUGGUCUUGGAGACGCCACUGAGUGCUACCUAUAGAGUCUGGCAGAUGGCCCAAGCUUUCUGAAGCGUGUCCUGCUUGGACACUGCUCCCUAGUCUGUUAAUUGGAGGAGGAAUGGGAUUGCCAAGCAAGAAUGCCAUACUCUCUGAAAAUAAACUUUCAUUCCAGUCCUGUGCUACUGCAAAGGAUGAAUCUCCACAUGGCAUGAAGCUCAGUGGGCUAUGCCUGUGAAUAGUCCUCCAUCACAGCAAAGAACUUCUACCAAGGAAGACCAGCUGCUGGUUCUCCUGUCUGGAAGAACACUGAGAUUUCUCCAGGUUUAAAAUGCCACUUGGAAUCAGCCCUCCUUAAAACACGGGGCGUCGUGAGGAAAUGCUUGUAUCGCUGGGAAGCGGAAGGUGAAGGAAAACCCCC
rnacentral:lncRNA from 1 species